rnacentral:tRNA from 1 species
GCGGGCGUGGUGGAAUUGGUAGACACACAGGACUUAAAAUCCUGAGAAAGGUAACUUUCGUGCGGGUUCAAGUCCCGCCGCCCGCACCA